rnacentral:lncRNA from 1 species
UGGGUCCAUGCUAAUCCGACCGGCCGAGGACGUCGACCGUUUCACCCUUAGGCUGCCUGCCGAGGUAAGGAAGCAAUUGAUGGACCGGCCAGGGCCAGUCCUGUCCCUGGAAGGUUGCCUGACGCAAGGAUACCGAUGCGACGGCAAGGGGAGCAGCCGAGGGAGGGACUUCAGGAGGCCGGACCGGCUCAACUGGGCAGCCAAGUCGGAG